AAUUCCGGCAGAAUCAGGCCUCUGGACGCUCCAGGGAUGUGUCCUGGUUCCCUGGCUGUUAUUACGAAGCAGCAGUUCAGAUCCGUGGAACUUCUCGACUGUUCUGCCUCACGGUGACUUGAUCCAUCAGCUGAACAGUACAGCAUCUGAUUAAAUUUUAGAGAGAUUGUGCAUGCAGCUCUGGCUGUGGACCUGUGGCAUCGUGAUGACCUGGGAUCAUCAGGUAGCAGAAGGCCAUUCCCUUUGGUGCCUCUCAUUCCCUGUGUGCUGGCCAGCACAUCAUUACGCCUGAUGGAAGGCUCUGCCAGGCCCUUCCCCACCGAGGGCCUCAUCAAGCUUCCUUGACAGGUGGAGGUGAAGGUCAAGUGCAGAGCCCUCCUGGCACAUCCAGUGCUCUCUCUGUCAUGGAGAGGGCUGAGGAGGGAGAAUGGUGCUUCCAGGAAAGCAGAGCUGAGGCCCGCUGGACUCCAGGCAGCUCUCUGCUCUCCUUGCCUUUUGCCUCAGUCCUGCCAUUGCAAGCUGGGUUGCCCCCCACAAAACUCAAGGAGGCAUCUCAGCAAGUUUCAAGAUUUCCAUCCUCCUAUAGCUGGGACUUUGGACGAAAGCUCCAGGAACAAGGACAUGACUCGGAACUGGCUAUGGUUACAAAGAAGCUGAGAAGUGCACAGAACUCUAAGAAGCAGGCACAUUUGGGAUUUGCUAUCAAUCUCAAACCCCAGCAGCCCAGCCUGGGGUCCCUGUCAGGUUUCUCACUAGUGGGGAAGACCUCAGGUCCAGGCGACUGUUAUCCGGGAGCAGGAGCUGGUUCUUUCCUUUUGGACUCCUAG
rnacentral:lncRNA from 1 species